rnacentral:rRNA from 1 species
AGGGAAUCUUCGGCAAUGGACGGAAGUCUGACCGAGCAACGCCGCGUGAGUGAAGAAGGUUUUCGGAUCGUAAAGCUCUGUUGUAAGAGAAGAACGAGUGUGAGAGUGGAAAGUUCACACUGUGACGGUAUCUUACCAGAAAGGGACGGCUAACUACGUGCCAGCAGCCGCGGUAAUACGUAGGUCCCGAGCGUUGUCCGGAUUUAUUGGGCGUAAAGCGAGCGCAGGCGGUUAGAUAAGUCUGAAGUUAAAGGCUGUGGCUUAACCAUAGUACGCUUUGGAAACUGUUUAACUUGAGUGCAAGAGGGGAGAGUGGAAUUCCAUGUGUAGCGGUGAAAUGCGUAGAUAUAUGGAGGAACACCGGUGGCGAAAGCGGCUCUCUGGCUUGUAACUGACGCUGAGGCUCGAAAGCGUGGGGAGCGAACAGGAUUAGAUACCCUGGUAGUCCACGCCGUAAACGAUGAGUGCUAAGUGUUGGAGGGUUUCCGCCCUUCAGUGCUGCAGUUAACGCAUUAAGCACUCCGCCUGGGGAGUACGACCGCAAGGUUG